CCCACCAUGUCCUUAGUCAACAGUUUUUAAGGUUGGAAACUUGCUCCAAAGGCAAAGGAUCCAAAAAGGGGUCAAGAAUGCCAAGGACAAACUUUGUUCACUUUCCAUUUUCCCCAAUUAAACAUGGACAAAUAAAAGCAAUUUGCAAAACAUAUUUGGGGCGGCCUGCAGCCACCAGGUUCCAGUUAAUUGGAAUAUUGAGGGAAAGCAACUCUCUCUUUCUUUCUCAAGACUUUCUUUUGCAAUCUAAUGUCUUAAGAGUGUCAGACCUUUUUCCUCGUGAGCGAUUUUUAGCAACAUAAAAUGUGUCUUCAGGUUACACAGAUUUCUUCCGUGGGGCACAUCACAUCUAUAAUUUUUUUAAUUAAUUAAUUUUAGUUCUGAGCCUUAGAGUAACUUUGGGCUCUAACUAAAAUAUGCACGUGUGGCAAAUAGAUCUUCAUUUCUAAGGGGGAUAGGAGAGAUUUUAGAGCUCUUGCGGAUUUGUAUUGUGUUACUUUUCCAUUUCUUCCCAAACGUAUCUCCUCUGCCUUUUCCUUCCUCCCUGCUUCCAGGAUGGAUGAUGGCCGGCUCUUAGACUACCUUAUGCAUCACGAUGAGCUGAUGGAAGAGAAAGUAGCUUUCUAUAUCCGAGACAUCAUAGAAGCUCUGCAGUAUCUUCACAACUGCAGGGUGGCCCAUUUGGACAUCAAGGUAAUAAGAAAUAGCUACCCUUGCAGGGAGAUAGCCUGUUCAUCAUUACCCUUGAGAGAUGUACAUUCUAAUUCAUUUCAUUUCCUUAGAUUAGGAUCCUUAGGAAUAUUAAAUAGAAACUGGGUUGUCACACAAUUUGAGUGUGUUUCUCGUGAAUUAUGAGAACUCACCAGAGUCACAGUGACAUCUGGGGUGAGAGAAGGUAGGGAAGCUUUUACCACUUCGUCUAACAUUUUAGAAGGAAGCCAGUAAAUGUCAGUUUUUUGACGGUGCUCCCAAAGAAGGCUCUGUUUUCCAAAAUGAAUAAUUCAUUCUUUUUUUCUGAAUCAGUGCAGAGGUAAGGGGUGGUUGAGAAGACAUGAUUUUCAAUGUCAAACAGCUUCUCUGAACUGCCACCCAAACUCCGAAUUUAGUCUAGUUUGGAGCCCCCUGUGCACUUUGCAUGGGCAAUUUCCCAUGCUCUAUAGGCUUUUUCAAAGAAUAGCAGAACCGCUUUUGAACCACCAGAGUCGUACUGGUAGUCAAGACAAGUCAGAGAGCUGAACUUGCCUUCUCUUCUCCCUCACGCCUGCGUCUCCUCAGCCGGAAAACCUGCUCAUCGACCUUCGCAUUCCAGUACCUCGAGUGAAGCUCAUCGACCUGGAGGAUGCCGUCCAGAUCUCGGGCCACUUCCACAUCCACCACCUGCUGGGGAACCCCGAGUUUGCUGCCCCAGAAGUGAUCCAAGGCAUCCCCGUCUCCCUGGGCACAGAUAUCUGGAGCAUCGGGGUGCUGACAUAUGUCAUGCUGAGUGGGGUGUCCCCCUUCUUGGAUGAGAGUAAAGAGGAGACAUGUAUCAAUGUGUGCAGGGUGGACUUCAGCUUCCCGCACGAAUACUUCUGUGGUGUGAGCAAUGCCGCCAGAGACUUCAUCAAUGUGAUCCUACAGGAAGACUUUCGGAGGAGGCCCACGGCAGCCACCUGCCUGCAGCAUCCCUGGCUGCAGCCCCACAAUGGCAGCUACUCCAAGAUCCCCCUGGACACCUCCCGCCUGGCGUGCUUCAUAGAACGCCGCAAGCAUCAGAACGACGUGCGGCCUAUCCCCAAUGUCAAGAGCUACAUCGUCAACCGAGUAAACCAAGGGACAUAGCCAUCUCCUGGCCCUUGGGGUUUCACAUGGAAGUGCAGUGUGAACCAAAGCAAGACUGAAUGUCUGUAAAUAAUUCUGUUAGUUCACUCCAUGCAGUUCUCUGGAUCGAGCGAUGUACCUCUUAAACCUCGUCAGUGGUUAUUCAGGGUCUGGGCAGCCGUAAAAUUACCCUAAAUCCAGGGACAUUUCAGAAGGUCAUUUGGAAGAGGUAAAGAUGCAAAGAGUCACCCAAAGCAUUAAAGAGAGGGCCAAGGAGGACAAGAAUAUUAGCUGUUAGACAAUUUUAAUAGAGUGUUCCAAAAUGAGUGGUUAACCGGGCAAACCCAAAGCUCACUGUAGUGAGUAUAAAAGGUUUCUAACUCUGCUGAAAUUUUAAGCAAAAAGUUCUAUUUAACAGAGACAUCAUGUAUGCCAACUAUUCUGGUUUAGAUUACUUAGAUAUAGUUUCUUAAUAGGAUACAUAUACACAUACAGUAAAAUAUAUCCCAUUCAGGUUUCAGAGUUUUAUAAUAUAGAGGUAUAUAUGAAAUCAAUCAUAAGUAACUUUGAGUGCUCCAGUUAAGACAGUAAUUUAUUUACCGAAGCAUUACGUUGUUUUGACUAAGCACAAUUAGAUGACAAGUUUUUUAGAGCAUUUUAUAAAUCUUGUAUAGAAAUCUUUUACCAGAACCCGUGCAUUAAGAGAAAGCAAUGUUACCCUUUUGCAGUCCGUGAAUGAGAAGAUUUUUCUCUCAGUCACAAGUAUUUGAUUAACAUAGGUUCUGUAUAUGAAAUGCUACCCCCAAAUUCACUGGCAGCUCAGAGUUCAUCUGGCAGGAAAGCCUGCCAGAAAAGAAGUCCAAAUACAGUAAGAGUUCUGGGGUUAUUUUUAUGUCUACACUCGGUUUGAACUAGGUAAUGAAUAUAACAGGUUCAUACAAAAGGGCAAGUAGAAACCUUUCCUACGGUUCCUAAGAACAACGUAACGACACUUUCUGACUUCUUCUACAGCUGUAGAAGGCAGUCCUCAGAAAGUUGGCUUGCUUUAUUUCUAACCCCUUCUGGAAGCUAAGGGGUGCUUACCAAAAGGAGGCAGCCAUAUAGGCCUAAAAGGCCUGGUCCCAAGUCCUUUUUGAAGCCAUGGAAUAAAAUCUGAUAUAUCACUCUAACAGAGCAUUGAGUUUCAACUGUGAUUGCAAUACCUGUCACCACUCAGCCGCUGAUAUUUCCCUGGACCAAAAGGACUCAUUGCACUUUGAGGCCAAUGCUGCUUUCUGGCAUGUAUUCUCCACACACAGUGAUUCUGAACUGCCCUUUCCCCUGCUAGUGGGGGAAAAAAAAACUUCAACCUGGGCAUUUCAUGGUUGUUUUUCUUUCUUUGUUUUUGAGGAACAAUUUUGGGUUUUUUGUGUUGGUACAUGACCCACCCUUUGUUUUCUAGGAUGUGUUUUAAAAGUUGCUAUUAUGCAAAUAAUAUUUUAAAAAUAUAACUCAAGUGUUUAUCCUCCAAUCAGGUUUAAUGGCAUUGCUUCUCUCCUAUGAUAGGAUUGAGAAAAUUAAAAUCGAGCUGCACAAAAGUGCAAGCAGAGAGUUUAAGAAGGAUAAAUAGAAUUACAAAUCUGUCUAAAUGAAAAAGAAUGGUGGAAAUGAAGCCUGAACUUUAAUAUAUUAAAACACUUAUUCCCAGAGCGGAAAUAUAGAAUUAAAAAUACUCAUCUGUCUUUUCCAUUGGUCUCAGAGCCAACUUCGUCAUCCACCCUCCACCUCAUCCCAUCCAAGAUUAUAGAUUAAUCAAUUAGUAGAAAGUACAAGCAAUAAGACUAGAUAGCAUUUCGUAUUUUUAGGAUUAACCAAAUACGUGGAAACUGAUUCCGACUGUUAUUUGGUUCCUAGUUUCGAAUGGCCCUGGGUCACCGAGGUGCCCUCCCUCAGACCCUGCCCUUGACCAACCCUCUCUAGUCUUCAUUUAAACCUACAUGUAUAUACAAAUACUAUCUGAUAUAAUAUUUUAAAAUUUAAAACAUAUUUACUAAAAAACCUUUUAGUAAACAUGUCUUCAUUGUGAGAUCUAGCCUAAAAGAAGAAAGCCUGGUCCCUAGGGCUAGUCACGGGAUGGAGGGCAGGUGCUGAGGAUUCCAAAUACCCAUAAAAUGUGGCUUGGCAAGGUCUGUUUCAUCCACUGUGCACAGCAACUAAAGAACUCUCUGCCGAGUCCUUUUGAGUUUGUAUGACCAUGUAAGAGAUGGGUUGAGUUUCUGCUGGAGAAGAUUUGGGCCUUGGACAGUGGUGCACAGAGGGCACAGGAGAGCAUUCAUGAUAUCAUGUUGUGGGAAGGCAGCUGACAGAACGUUAUAGCCAAAGGUUUUAUAUCAGCUUUUACAUCAGAGUUGGGACAGCCCAGGUGUGGGGUUGCGUGAAAUUUCCCCUCCCCGCAAGUACACAUGCUGGAGAAGUGAGGAGACAGGACAAGCAGGACAUAGAAAUGAAAAGUAGGAUGAUUCUGUUAACUGGAGCCAAAGUACAAUCAUUAGAGUAGAAUUCAUUUAAUAGAGGCCCCAAGAGAAAGGGUGUGUAUUUUAUAUAGUUUGAUAACGGAAGAAAACUAAUAGAGAGGUUCCCUGUCUGCAAAGCCCCUGCUCACUCCCCUGCUAUCCCAAGUAAGAGAGCAGUCCUGGUUCCAGAUUUCUCCACAGGGCGUUGGAAAUAACAAGGAAGGCUUUAACAAGGAAGCCCAGAAGGUGGGGCUGGGAAACGUACUUGAGGUUGCGCUGUGGGCAACCAUGGUGAGGGACAAAGGAUUAGUAACCACUUUCUUGUACCUGUUUUAGCAGAUAUGACUUUCUGGUAGAAAGGGGAAGAAGAGAAAAUGGUCCACUUUGACCGCAGUUCUUAAAAUCAAAACUUAACUGGGAAUUAGUGAAAGUGAGCUUCUAGUUGAAAUGGGAAAAAUUAAUGUUGGUGAAAGUCCUAAGUUUCUUGCUUGUUGUUUUUCAUUGCAUAGAGUUUUGAGGUUUGUUUUGUAAGGGUGGGAUGCAGAAAGAAGAAAAGAUCAGGGACAACCCGUAAUAAUUUUUUAAAGAUACCAUGAUUUACUGCAUCUUCUACAUUUGUUUCAGAUUAAAUAGAUUUAUAUCCACUUACAGCUGAAUGUGGGAAAAUUUUUAAGAGAAAAAUUGUAAUGUGGAGGUGUCCUUCAGGACUCUCACAGCCAUAAACACUCAUGGGUGAGUAGAGGAAGCAGAGGAAAAGCUGGCUUCACCGCUUUGUUGUUCACAAAGCCUUUAUAAAUAGUAGUGCCUUUCAGAGGGGAGGUGGGGAGAUAAAGAAGUUCAUUGUAUUUAGACUGACUGAUACUGCAGCAUUUUUUUUUCUUUAUAUUAAAAUAUCUUUUAAAUGAAAACAUCUGAAUAUAGGGUGAGGCCAGGAAUGCUUGAGUUUCAACCUCAGCUAUUCCUGAUUCGUCCUUUCUUACAGAAAGUCUUUGUUUUUUUCUGUCCCAAAUGUCCCCAUUGUUGAAAUGGGAUGGGGGGGUGGAGAGGAGGGACUUUAAUCUCAUAGGAAUGUUGGGAAAAUAGCAUAGUUGGGAUGCCUAAAAAAAAACACUUUGAUUUUUUUAAAGUGCUACACACUGCCAGUGCUAAGAAUUUUAUUGAUAGUAACUUUGAACAUUCCAGGUUUUCAAUACUCAUGUUUUAGGAUACCAUUUGCAAACUCGUAAGAUUAAAUUCUGUAAUUUGAUUUUAAUUGGAAGUACCAGGUGCUCUUUGUCUAAAUGUUAUUUGGUCUUAGCCUGUAAUUUCAAUCAUUUAAAAAGCAUGUCUACAGAAAAAGGUUAGGAGACCUGAUGGUCUUAUGUGAAUAAACUGUUUUCUCCAGUAUUUCUGAUGGCAGACACAGAUUAGGGUGCCCUCCAAAGCAGCUGCUGCUCUCUCUUCUCAAGCUAUAUGCUUGGGAAACAUUGACAGAGAAGAACCCAAACAGCCACUUUCCUCACUGGGAGGGCAGAAGUAAGAAUAAAAUAUUGUCUGAUAUCACAACUCAUUUCUUCAGAAUUUCACUGGCAUCCACCGUAAGAAGCAAAUUACAUGUACAGGUGUAGAAAUGAAUAGAACUGUUGGAUUUUAGAGGGGAAACCUUGGAUUUCUCUCUCCCUCUCUCUCUUUCUCUCUCUCUCUCUUUUUAAAGAUACUUAAGAGUUUCUGGAGUAGCAUAUUUGCUUUCUUAUAGUCUCCAUGAUUUAGUGCCCAGGAGUUAGUCAUUCCUGUUUGCUUGCCUAUGUGAAAGAGCAUGGAAAUUUAGAUUUGUGAGAACAUGAGGGAGCAAAUACCUUAUAAACUAGGUGGUGGUCAUUUCUGUGUAUUAACUAAAACUUGGUCCCACAAAUUUGAUAGAGGAGGAAAUAUUGCAAACAUAAGGGGUCUCUGCAGUAGGGCAAAAGUGCAAACUCACCACUCCCCUGUUUGGUUUUGAGGAAUGUGGGCUUUAUUCCUUUUUCUCCCGUGUAGCGUGUCUGUGUAGUCUGGGUUAGGCUAACACUGUCUGUGGGCUUCCAGUGGAUUUAUUCGCAUUAUGAUUGUUCUUAACUAUUUAAAGUCAAGGGGUCAUUUGGAAAUUAACAAUUAAACCUGGGGCAGGUUUAGAAAAGAUAAAGUUCAUACAUACUCCACUAAGAAAAGGGAAGCUACUGUGUUAAUAUUUAUUUUCUAAAAACUGUAAGGCUCUCAGUUGUUUCAUUAAUUCUAGAGGAUUGGAAAGAGCUGAAAUUUGUCCAUAGCCCUAGACAUUUUGAUAGGAAAUAUUAUUCAUGUGAGAAAUCUAUAUAGAAAUAGAACACAGAAAUAUCAUAGGCUGUAUCUUCUAUGAAAGGCAUUUCUGCAUUUUUCAUAUGUGUAGCAGUUAGAGAAGAGGAGAAAUCAAUUACUCUUAAGACAAAUUUUCAUCUUUAAGGGUCAUUUUUGGGAAGCUUGAAAUUAAUACUCGUGAAAGCCUGAAAUACUCAUAGGCUAUUGUGUUUUGUCAGCCUGUUUGUUGGGAGAUUCUAAAAUGUGGUCAGAUUUAGUUUUAUUCAAAUGAUUGAGAUUAAUUGUUUAUUCAGAUGCCUGUUAUUUCAGAGGGUGAGGGUGAGGAUAGCUGAGAAAAAGGUGGGUAGUGGGAAAACAGUGCAAAUAAAAUUUAACAAGCUAAUUUGCUAGCCCAGGGAUAGCUAGCAUUGAGAGUUCCAUCAAUGCCUGACUUCUAUCAAGAGAUGAAUCCACAUCGUGGAGUAUUAUGGGGACUGUUACCAUGCUCUCAGAGACUGUGGUUAUGAAGUUAACAAAACAUAUAUCUCCUCUUACUAACUUAAGCCAUAUCUGUCAUCUCUGUGUCUGAUUUUUUUGACCCUGGUGCUUUUACUUCUGUUUCUGCCAAACUCCAGCCUGCUCUAUGGGGAAGGUGAGUAAAACCAGUAGUUAGGACCAAUGUGAAGACUGUGAAAAACACUAAACAUACCCAUCAGAAUGAGAUCCUAGUCAGAAAACAGUAGUGAUCAAAGUGCAAACUGUUGGAAUAUAUGGAUAUAUGUACAUCUGUACAUGUAUAUAGUGUAUAAUAUGUAUGUAUAUGUUAUUGCUCAUAUGCAGAAAUCUAUCCAGUUGAAGACAGCCCAGGUCGGUCAGUUUUUCUACUGGAAAACCACUUAGAGCCAUUCAAAACCAUUAGGGCUGAUGGGUGGAGUUAGGGUCUACUCAUUUGGGAAUUACUUGCUGUCCUUUAAAGUCCACAGAGCCAAGUGAACAAAGCCUGAAACAUAAUGGGGCCAUCAUUUAGGUUAUCUGUUUACCUGGGGUCAGGAGUAUCUUUAUAUUUGAAUUAUUAAUAGUUGGUUUGCAAACUGCAUUGGCACCUCUUGGUUUUGAGUGACCCAUCCCCACCAAGUCUUUUGAGAGUUUGGGGUGGCUUCUCUGGCCCUUGAGAUCAAGGGCCUUAUCCAUAAGUGGAUAGGUUUCCCCAUAGGGACCAUUACACAUAUACAUAUAAGUACAUACUUCCAUCAGGCUUGUAACAAUUGAUUUAAAACCACUCCACAGUAUUGAUAAAUAGCUCUAUAUUUUCAAGGUGCAGAAGACUUCCACAGCCUUAAUUAUUUCAGUGUCUUGCUGGUCUGCCUUAAGUGUAUCUUCUGGGUUUUUGGUUGUCUUAUUAUUUUUAAAAUUUUCUGCAGUUCAUUUUGUAUGCACACAAUGUCGUUUUGUAAAGGUAGGUUGUAAAUAUUUUAUUUGUAAGUCAAAAUCACUCAUGUGUAAUGUUGUAAAGUGAUGACCUUCUGUCUUGUUAUAACUACAGUAAAUGUUAUAAGUCAUGGAUGAAACUUCAAAAUGUACAUCUCACAAGUUAUGCAUUCCUAUAAAUACACUAUACUAAAGAUAUUA
rnacentral:lncRNA from 1 species